AUGGACCGCGGUGAAAAUGUAUGCCGUGACCAUCCGUAUGAGUUGAAGAUCAACAAAAGUGGAAGCGCUCGCUCCCGUGUACGUGCACGCUCCAGCCCGGUGUGUUUGGAUGCAAAGUGAGCCCACACUGACAGCUCCGAGCUCGGGAGCGGAAUAGCAGAGUCUACACCUCAUUUGGAGGAUAAAACCCUUCUGGAUACGAUGAAACGCCCCCGGAAUAGCAUCCACCGAGCAUCAGGGACGAGGACCGCUUUAAUUUAAUCUGGUAUUUAAUUGGGCUUUCGGAUCCUGAUGAAGACGCCCCUGCGACUGUUUCUGUGGAUGAAGCUGCCUUCGAUGUCCAGCAAAGAAGGAUUUCUCCUGCGGCAGCCCUAACGUCGCCCCGCGGCAGCAGAGGCGACUGAAGCAGGCCGCUGCGCACGCACGGAGGCGGGUUUGUUGCGCUCAGACUGCGCUGGAUGCUGAACAUGGUGCCA